AAGCCACAGCCUGAAGCUCAGGCUGCUGACUUGAGCACAGAUGGGAGAAUGUUAACAGCCAAGAAAUAUGAGGUCUUUGGCUCCUUUCCCAGAACUGCCAGGCUAAGACCUUGGCAGAGAUUCAACAGGAAACUGAACUCUAUUUGCAUAUCCUUUUAUACAUGGGAGAUUAAAAGCUUCAACCUUGAGUGAUCACAGUUUUUGAGAAUCACAAUGAGGCAUUAAGGAGGAGGAGUGUCCCAAGGGAGAUGAGCUGGAGUUGAAUCAAGUACCAUAGUAAGAACUAAUCCCAUGUAGACAGCAUGGGCAGAAUGAGGAUGGACAAAUGCCAUGCCUCACAGACAUCUGACUGAUUCCUGGAAGACAAAAUUAAGGUAAAAGGAAGAUAGAAGAACUGAGGAGCCCUAUCGGUUGGUAUCAAGAAACUGAAGUAUCAGGUGGGAUUACAGAGCCACCUUCUAUUUAGUCUUUCCACCAACUCUCCCAGAGUAAUUCUCUCAGGGGAGUCCUUUUUCGUUCACCCAGCGAUUGGGCAAACAUCCCCUGACUUCUAUGGUGUGUUCAGGGCUGGGGCUGGGAUCUGUGAGGGUGACAAGAUUUCAGGCUCUCUGGGCUUCACCUGGCCCAGGAGCUGCGGGGCCUGCUCUUCUGACGCUCUAAGGCUGCUCCUACCUGUACAGUCAGGAGGUAGGAGUGAGCAGACCCACUACUGGCUCUGGCCUGUACUGAACGGGCUCUGCUUCUGGGACAGGCUCCUGGCCCUUUCUCCUCAUCUCAGCCUUUAGUGUCUCAGGGACUUGCCUGUGGGCUUGCCAGCUGAUGAUGAGGAAAGAAAAUGAACUUGGAUCAGCAGAUGUUCUGCCCCCAGAGAAUAGCUUCACCUGUUAUACAGAUGGUAUGGGGCCCUUUUUCCUUCUGCUGCCACAUGGCAGCGUCUCCCUUCUAGAUUGAGUCAAAUUUUUAGCAAGGGAAUUGUUGAUAUUUAGCUUCAGACAGCUUUUUAAUGGUUCUUUACCCUGUUUUUGGAAGUUCUUUUUAUUAUUUGUUGCAAAUAGAUUCAUUCCAGAUCUUUAUUUUUGUAACAAGAGAGCCGCUUCUUGGGAAGGGAGAUAGACUUUGCCAAAAUACCACUCUUCCACAGGACAAGAGCCCAUAACUGUCACACAGAAUUUAACAGAAAAUAUUGCAUUGAUGUAAUUCUGAGUAGCAGUUAAGUGCCUGCUAUUAUACUCUGCCUGUAUUAAGCACCCCAUAAAUGUUGAUGCUGGACUGAAGAAAACACAGCUCAAAAUAAACACAAUUGGAAGACAAAGGAAGUGGAAUGGGCAAUGCUAAUUAGAUGAGAAAAAGCAAAGUUAAAGCAUGGAAAAAGUUAAUAGCAUAUUAUAGAAUUAUCUACUGAAAGAACAAAGUAGAACAAACUAAAAAUAAAAAGGAAACUACAUCAGCUUAGAUCAGAGGAAUGUGCAGGCAGAGAAAAGCUGGAGAGGUAAUUAGGAUAAUUAUCUCCAUGGAGUGGUUCUCAAUCUUGGCCACAUAUUGGGAUCACCUGGGGAGUUUUAAAAAUUACUGAAGCCUGCAUGCUACCCCAAGAGAGUCUGAUUUAUUCUGGGGUGGGGUCUGGGCAUCAGAAUUUUAAAAAAGCUCCCUAGGUAAUUCUGAUAUGCAGGUGAGUUGAUGACCACUGGUAAGAGAUCACGUAGUGCACAAGGCUUAUGAUAGUAUUGUCCUCAGCAGACAAGACAAAGCCUGUGGCCAGGUGUCACCUGUGACUGGGUGAGUCUACCAGCCUUCUGCACCUUAUCCUUUCUCUAGGACCAGCAUGGACCCUCAGUGGCUCUCCUCCCUGGUGACUGUUCACACUGGUCUCUUACAAACCAGAGGAUAUGAGAGCCUGCUUUGGUCAGCAUGAGCCAUCUCCUUGCUCCCCUGAGCUCCUGCAAGUGCUGGGCACUUACUGAGUGCUUGGUAAAUAUUUGCUUGGUGUUAUGGUCCUUGUCCCUCUGGGGUCCUUCUGUACUGAUUGAAAUGGGCUAAGUCUGUGGUUCUUGGUUCCCCCUCUUAAUCCUACACUGACUUUCAA